CCUACGGGAGACAGCAGUGGGGGAUAUUGCACAAUGGGGGAAACCCUGAUGCAGCGACGCCGCGUGGGCGAAGAAGUAUUUCGGUAUGUAAAGCCCUAUCAGCAGGGAAGAAGAAAUGACGGUACCUGAGUAAGAAGCACCGGCUAAAUACGUGCCAGCAGCCGCGGUAAUACGUAUGGUGCAAGCGUUAUCCGGAUUUACUGGGUGUAAAGGGAGCGCAGGCGGCACGGCAAGCCUGAUGUGAAAGCCCGCGGCCCAACCGCGGGACUGCAUUGGGAACUACCGGGCUGGAGUGCCGGAGAGGUAGGCGGAAUUCCUAGUGUAGCGGUGAAAUGCGUAGAUAGUAGGAGGAACACCAGUGGCGAAGGCGGCUUACUGGACUGUAACUGACGUUGAGGCUCGAAAGCGUGGGGAGCAAACAGGAUUAGAUACCCCGGUAGUC
rnacentral:rRNA from 1 species